UACGUAGGGGGCAAGCGUUGUCCGGAUUCGUUGGGCGUAAAGAGCGUGUAGGCGGCCAGGUAGGUCGGUUGUGAAAACUGGAGGCUCAACCUUCAGAGGUCGACCGAAACCAUCUGGCUAGAGUCCGGGAGAGGAGAGUGGAAUUCCUGGUGUAGCGGUGAAAUGCGCAGAUAUCAGGAAGAACACCCGUGGCGAAAGCGGCUCUCUGGAACGGUACUGACGCUGAGACGCGAAAGCGUGGGGAGCGAACAGG
rnacentral:rRNA from 1 species